UGAGAUGCAGCGCUGGCAUGAAACAGUUGCAGGGAGAGCUCCAAGCCCAGCACCAGCUGAAGAAGCAAGUGACAUUUAAAAUGCCUGAUGUAAGCCCCGAGACGAGAGGAUGUCCAGCAGAGGAGGAGCUGUGGCCUUCCAAAUGCAGUCGUCUACCAUUUCACCUUGCUGAUGGGGACUCAAUUCUCAGUCAUCUAAAUGCUAUUCGACGAGCAAGGUUACCACCGCGAAGGCCUGACUUCCUUCUGGAAUCUCUAGAAAGCAAGGAACUGCUGGGACCUCCUUUUACAAGGUAGAAAAUCUGUUUUAAAAAGUAAAGAAAAAGAGAGUGGCUUACAGUGGGCCUUGUGCUAUGCUUAUCCCCUCAAAUCCCCUCACCUUCAUAACGCAGAACAUUUAGUUCUGCAAGCAAAUAGCAACCAAGGGCUUUGUUUUGUUAGUGAGAGGAUUUGAGGAAAAGAUAGGGCACAUGACUUAUUUCCAAAAUUAAUUAAAAAGUUUCCUUUUCUGUCAGUCUUGCCAUCAGGAUUUGAGGAAAAGAUAGGGCACAUGACUUAUUUCCAAAAUUAAUUAAAAAGUUUCCUCUGUCAAUCUUGCCAUAUAAACUCAGAAGUUUGAGUUGUGCAGGAUGCUUUUGGCUCAUAGAUCACUUGUUCCACAACAGGUUCAGGUCUGGAUUUAACUAAUGUGCUGGGGAAUUGUUAGCGAUUCUGGUAGUGCAGAGCCAGGACCAAACAUCUGUCCAUUUCCUGUCAAAACCUAGCUGAGAUCGCUGCUUCUGCUCCCCUCUUUCUCUUGUCCCCAAACCAAAAUAAGGCAGGAUUUUAUUAAUGGGUAGAAUUCACAGCCCUAAAGAAAUUGUUUCAGCCUGGAUUAACGUGGAGGAUUUGGAGCAGGGCAGGUAGGAGUAAUGGAAACCAUAAUUGUUUUGCUGCUUUUUUAUUUUUUUUAAACCACUGUGGUUGGAGCAGGGCAGGUAGGAGUAAUGGAAACCAUAACUGUUUUGCUGCUUUUUUAUUUUUUUUUAAACCACUGUGGUGUUUUUCUAAUUUUUUUUUGUUCUUUUUUAAUUGGGGUUUCCCCUGCUUAGUAAAGCAGCUCACUGGAUAUCUGUAUGCAAGGGAAUAACGACUUUUUUUUUUUUUUUUUUAAUUGGGGUUUCCCUUGCUUAGUAAA
rnacentral:lncRNA from 1 species